rnacentral:lncRNA from 1 species
CACAGGUUUGUCUUUUAAUCAGCAUCCAUGAAAAUUCAUUAAAAGGUCUAAUACGAAAAGCACCAGGCUAACAAAUCAGUCCUGAAUUCAAUUUUACAAAAACACCCUCUCCUCUUCCAUCUCAUCCCUAAUAUUCCCACGUUAUCUCGAGGUACAGAGAAAUAUAAAAGGGAUCCUUGACAUAAAAACGUAUUAAAAAGCCACCAUGAGUAGAAUGUACGGUAACAGCAUCUGACUCGGCCGGCAGGACAGGAAACCUACAGAGCCACCAUGCCAGAGCUUUGUGUGAGCAGGCGGGCACUCCACAUGGGCACGUGUGUGAGCAGGCGGGCACUCCACAUGGGCACGUGUGAGCAGGUGGGCACUCCACAUGGGCACGUGUGAGCAGGCGGGCACUCCACAUUGGCACGUGUGAGCAGGCGGGCACUCCACAUCGGCAUGUGUGUGAGCAGGCGGGCAUGCCACAAUGGCACGUGUGAUCCGGCGGGCACUCUACAUGGGCAUGUGAGCAGGCAGGCACUCCACGUCGGCAUGUGUGAGCAGGCGGGCACUCCACGUCGGCACGUGUGUGAGCAGGCGGGCACUCCACAUCGGCACAUGUGAG